GGGACGAUAGCUCAGUUGGGAGAGCGUGCGAUUGAAGUUCGCAAGGUCGCUGGUUCGAUCCCGGC
rnacentral:tRNA from 1 species